rnacentral:tRNA from 1 species
GGCGAGUUGGCGGAGUGGUUACGCAGCGGUCUGCAAAACCGUGUACACCGGUUCGAUUCCGGUACUCGCCUCCA